UACGGAGGGUGCAAGCGUUAUCCGGAUUCACUGGGCUUAAAGGGUGCGUAGGUGGAUUUAUAAGUCAGUGGUGAAAGCCCCGAGCUCAACUUGGGAAUUGCCAUUGAUACUGUAGAUCUUGAGUGCGGUUGAGGUAGGCGGAAUGUUACAUGUAGCGGUGAAAUGCUUAGAUAUGUAACAGAACACCAAUUGCGAAGGCGGCUUACCAAGCCGAUACUGACACUGAGGCACGAAAGCGUGGGGAUCAAACAGG
rnacentral:rRNA from 1 species